AUUGAACGCUGGCGGAAUGCUUUACACAUGCACGUCGAACGGCAGCACGGACUUCGGUCUGGUGGCGAGUGGCGAACGGGUGAGUAACAUAUCGGAACGUAUCCAAUAAUGGGGGAUAACGAGUCGAAAGAUUCGCUAAUACCGCAUACGCCCUACGGGGGAAAGCUGGGGACCUUCGGGCCUGGCGUCAAUGGAGCGGCCGAUAUCUGAUUAGCUAGUUGUUGAGGUAAAGGCUCACCAGGGCGACGAUCAGUAGCUGGUCUGAGAGGACGACCGGCCACACUGGAACUGAGACACGGGCCAGACUCCUACGGGAGGCAGCAGUGGGGAAUUUUGGACAAUGGGCGCAAGCCUGAUCCAGCCAUUCCGCGUGAGUGAAGAAGGCCUUCGGGUUGUAAAGCUCUUUCGCAAGGGAAGAAAACUUAGCCACUAACAUUGGUUGAGGUUGACGGUACCUUGAUAAGAAGCACCGGCUAACUACGUGCCAGCCGCCGCAGUAA
rnacentral:rRNA from 1 species